rnacentral:rRNA from 1 species
GAUCAUGGCUCAGGACGAACGCUGGCGGCGCGCCUAACACAUGCAAGUCGAACGAGCGAGAGAGAGCUUGCUUUCUCGAGCGAGUGGCGAACGGGUGAGUAACGCGUGGGGAACCUGCCUCAAAGAGGGGGACAACAGUUGGAAACGACUGCUAAUACCGCAUAAGCCCACGGCUCGGCAUCGAGCGGAGGGAAAAGGAGCAAUCCGCUUUGAGAUGGCCUCGCGUCCGAUUAG